GGAAGUGUGGUCCAGUGGUUUGGAUGCUAGUUUGGGAAUCUGCAGACCUGGGUUCAGUUGCCUGCUCUACUA
rnacentral:tRNA from 1 species